CAUGUAGACACUCCACCGUGUUUUUGUCUAUCAAACAGGAGAUGUGCAGUACAGAACAGACAGUAAAUCAGGAUCAGUUUCACCUGCAGCCAGCCUCCAUAAAACUGAAGGAGGGAGUUGAGCUCCACUUGUUUUAUGAGUGAAGUCAAACAUUUCCAUGCUGUAAAGACCCGUCUUGCUGCUGGAGAGAAGCCAGGGCAUGUAUCCGUGUUUACCUCACAGGCACCGGGUCGCACGCCCCUUUCAUGCUGAUGUCAGAUUGGCACGACACAUGGAGGAUGAAGUGAAGUUGCAAUAUACACAACAGCAGAGGGAGCAGUUUUUAUCUGGAUUCUGUCACAAAUCUGGACUCGAGGGGACAGCCGGCUGUGAUUCUGCAGGGAU